rnacentral:piRNA from 1 species
UACCAUUAGCACUUCAGGAAUGCCAUAAA